CAAAUCAUUCACUUGUGGUUUCUAUGGGAUGGGGGAAAAUGCUUACUGGUUUUCAAUAUGGUUCACAAAUUCAAAGGAAAGAACUGUUGUUUGGAUGGCCAAUCGAAAUAGACCUGUCAAUGGCCGGGGCUCCAGAAUUUCGCUGCAGAGAGAUGGCACCAUGAUGCUAAGGGAUGCUGAUGGCUCAACUGUUUGGGAGACUAACACUACCUCUACUGAUGUUGAUCGAGCAGAGCUUUUGGACACUGGAAACCUUGUUCUCAAGGACCCACGAGGUAAAAUUCUGUGGCAAAGCUUUGGUUUUCCAACUGAUACUCUUCUGCCAAACCAAAUCUUUACCACGAGCACAAAGCUGAUCUCUAUACUCAGAAGAGGGGAUUUUUCUUCUGGUUACUUUAACUUCCUUUUUGACAAUGACAAUGUCUUGAGAAUGAUGUAUGAUGGGCCUGAGAUUUCCAGAUUGUAUUGGCCUAAUCCUGAUUGGGAUGUUUUCGGAAAUGGAAGAACAAACUUUAACAGUAGUAGAACUGCUGUUUUGGAUGAAAUGGGGAGGUUUCUUUCGAGUGAUAAAAUGUCUUUCAACGCUUCUGACAUGGGUUUUGGAGUCAAAAGGAGGCUGACAAUGGACUACGAUGGAAACCUGAGGCUCUAUAGUUUAAACCAUUCCACGGGAUUAUGGGUGAUCUCAUGGAAAGCUCUUAGCGAACAGUGUAAAGUACACGGGUUAUGUGGUAGAAAUGGGAUUUGUAUUUAUACACCAGAACCCAAGUGUUCAUGUCCUCCGGGCUAUGAAGUAAGUGACCCAAGUGACUGGAGCAAAGGUUGCAAGUCUAAGUUCAACCAAAGCUGUUCCCAAACACAGCAGGUAAAAUUUUUGGAGCUUCCCCAGACCGAUUACUAUGGGUUUGAUCUCAAUUACAGCCAAUCUGUUUCAAUGGAAGCUUGCAGGAAAAUCUGCUUGGACGAUUGCCUUUGCCAAGGAUUCGCCUACAGGCUAACAGGAGAAGGGAACUGUUACGCAAAAAGUACCCUUUUCAAUGGCUACAAGUCCUCCAACUUCCCUGGGAGUUUAUAUUUAAAACUGCCUGUGGAUAUCGAAACGUCAGCACCCACUGUCCUCAAUGGUUCUGAUCUCAUAUGCGAGUCCAAGGAGGUUGAGGUUGUGCACAGUUCUUCUGUAUAUGACACUGCCAGUAAAAAGAUGAGAUGGGUUUAUCUCUACUCAUUUGCUUCUGCCAUUGGUGCCAUAGAAGUUCUCUUUAUUGUGUCAGGUUGGUGGUUUCUUUUCAAGGUACAUAAUGUGCCAUCUUCAGCUGAAGAUGGAUAUGGUUCGAUAUCAAGCCCGUUCAGGAGAUUUAGCUACACCGAACUCAAGAAGGCAACCAACAAUUUCAAAGUGGAGCUUGGAAGAGGAGGCUUUGGGGCUGUUUAUAAGGGUGUUUUGGAGGAUGAAAGGGCAGUAGCAGUGAAGAAAUUGGGAGAUGCCACUCAAGGGGAAGGGGAGUUUUGGGCUGAAGUAAGCACAAUCGGAAAAAUCUAUCACAUGAACCUAGUCAGAAUGUGGGGAUUCUGUUCAGAGGGUAGACACAGACUUGUAGUCUACGAGCAUGUAGAAAAUCUGUCACUGGAUAAGCAUCUCUUCAGCACGAGUUGUCUGGGAUGGAAAGAGAGGUUUAACGUUGCAGUGGGGACAGCGAGGGGUUUAGCCUACCUUCACCAUGAGUGUCUAGAAUGGGUUAUCCACUGUGACGUGAAGCCUGAAAAUAUACUUCUAGACAACGGGUUUGAACCAAAGAUUGCAGAUUUUGGGCUAGCCAAGCUGUCUCAGAGAGGUGGCCCCGGUUCAGGAGAAUUCUCUCGGAUUCGGGGGACUAAAGGGUACAUGGCUCCAGAGUGGGCUAUGAAUCUUCCAAUUACGGCAAAAGUUGAUGUUUAUAGCUAUGGAGUUGUGGUUUUAGAGAUGGUGAGGGGAAUUCGGCUUUCGAAAUGGGUGGGUGAGGAUGGCGAGGAGCAGGAAGCUGAGCUGACGAGGUUUGUCAGGGCAGUGAAAAGGAAAAUUCAAUAUGGAGAAGACAAUUGGGUAGAGGAUACAGUGGACCCAAGAUUGAAGGGGAAGUUUAGUAGGCAGCAGGCAACAAUGUUGGUCGAAAUAGGUAUUUCUUGUGUGGAGGAAGAUAGAAGUAAAAGACCAACAAUGGCCACCGUAGUCCAAGUUCUACUGGAAUGCGAAGGUGAAGCCCAAGUCCAAACCUUGGACUUGGAGUAAAUGUCUUUUUUUAUUUAUUUACUGAAUAAGUUAUGGGGUCUGUAUCUCCUGAACAAAUUACAUAGUUGUCAUUGGUUUUUCUUGUUUUCUUUUUGUAUGGGGUCUGUAGCCACUUCUUUGGCACUACAUCAAUUUGGAAUCUUACAAGUUCAUGGUCCUGGGUAGCAUAAAAUAUUCACCUUCCAUAUAAUAAUAGAAAUACGCUGAAUGCAGAUAAUACCAUUCUUUAAAAAUUAAAAAUCCAUGCGAGUGUGUCCAAAUUUGGCAAGUGGGGUGGCGACUAGGUGGGUCACAACGGUCAUUAUAUUCCAAACCCCAAUUAGUUAUUCUCAUGCUCGCCCACCAGUUCUUGUUUUUCUCUCUCUCUCUUUUUUUUUUUCUUUUUUUUUUUUAAAUCUUAAUUAUAUUUAAAAUAAAUAUAAUUUGUAUGUAAAUAAAUAGUAUAACUUUUUAUGAUUUAUUUUUAUAAGAUAUAUUUUCAUUUUAUAUUUGUUAAAAACUAAAAAAUAUUUUUUAUUUAAUUAUAUAUAUAUAAAUUGGAUGAGACAAUACAAUAUCUCAACUACCCCCAUCAAAAUAAGAAAAUUCAAAUCUAUCACUAAUUUUAUAUGUCUUAUCCGAAACUCAUCUAAUGUCACCUAAAGUACGUGUAUCCGCGAAAACAUGCUUCAGGUCCAUUCCUAAUUGAGACAUCUUUUUUGACGGUCUGUUCACCUCAAAGCUCAAUGUCUGACAACCAAGUGACCAACCAAGCACGUCUUCUCGAAGAAAGGACCAAGCAUUUUCUGAGAACAGCUUAAGACGGUGAGUUUAAGACCAAAAUAAUCUAUUUAUAAAAAAAAAUUGACAAGAAUAGUACCCAUCUCAAAAUAUUUGUCAAAGUAAUCUUUUGUAUCCACGUAAGCAUAUACAUAAAUUUUUUUUUUAAGUGUAAAAAAUCACCGUUGGUAACUCUGGUUUUAAAAGUUUCAAAAAUAUCAUUAAAACCAUAGUUUGUGACUUUGGUUUUACAAUUUCCUUAAAACCAUAGUUACUAACUGUGGUUUCAAAAUUAUUUUUAAUCCACCCCCGUUUGAAUGGUACUGUGAUUUUAAUAUUAAUUUUAAAAUAUUCUUUAUCAUAAUAACCAUAAAACCAUAGUUAGUUUCACACUUUACCAAAAUUUCUUAACGAUGUACCAAAUUUCCUUAAAAUUCGUUUCGGAGUGGAGAAAUCUUUUUACAAUUUUCCAUUAUCAGUUUAAAACUAUUUUUUUUUUUAUAAAUUAUCCUUAAUAAAUUUUUUCUUUAUGACUGUUUUAAAAUUAUAUAUAUAUAUAUUAUCUUUAUUUUUUUUUUCAUAUUUUCCUUGAAAUUUUGAGAAAAUAAUUUCGCUUACAUGCAUUUCCAUAAAAAUUUAUAUAUUUAUGGUAAAUAAAAUAUUUAUUUGUUUUAUGAAUUUUAUCACAUAUGAAUUAAAGAAAAUUAUUUUUAAAUUUUAAAGUAAUUAAACAAAUUGUUUAUAUUAUUUAAAAUUUUAUAUUUUCAUAUAAAAAAUAAUGUCAAUGAUUAUGAUUUUAGGUUAUUCCUUACUAAUUGUGGUUUAAUGGUUAUUAUGAUAAAAAAUAUUUUACCAUUAAAAUGGAGGUGGAUUAAAAAUAAUUUUGAAACCACAGUUAGUAACUGUGGUUCUAAGGAAAAUUGUAAAACCAUAGUCACAAAUUGUGGUUUUAAGCAUAUUUUUGAAACUUUUAAAACCACAGUUACCAACAGUGGUUUUUUACACUUAAAAAAAAAAUUCAUGUGGAUGCUUACGUGCAUACAAAAGAUUACUUUGACAAAUAUUUUGAAAUGGGUACAAUUCUUACCAUUUUUUUUUUUUACAAAAGGAUUAUUUUGGUCUUAAACUCCAAGUCAGCCUUACUCUCAAUGCUUAGCUUGCUAAGCUAAGAUGCACCCGACUUAGAAGCUUUAGAGGGCGUAGUAGACAACACUUAAAGAAUGAAAUCGUUAUUGCUCAAAGGAAGCUUUACAAGUGCUUUGGAACUCACUUGGUUGGUUGGUUGGUUAGGUUCUUGGGUAGUGCCUUGGCCAAAUGAGGCUUUAACUUAUUUAUAGGCACCUUAGGAAGUCUCUAAAAUCUUGAAAGGUUCCUUACAAAUCAAGAAUAAUCUAGAAGCUAUUACACUAGUCUAUGUACAAAGGAAUGUACAAGAUGACUUUUCAAGAUUCUAGAACACCCUACACUAUUCCAAUGUUCUCCUAGCCAAGUGUAGAGAUGUAUGAACAUCUCUAACCCUUUUUAGAAGUUUCCAUAUUCUUUACUUUGUAACUAAGUGUAGAUGUCUCCAAGGGUCUCUAGAAGCUUCUCACAUCUUAUAUAAGGCUAUAUGGAGGGUCAUUUGAAACAUCUUGUGACAUUAAGGCCAAACUACGUAAAUGUUGUGUAUUUUGUUUUCGUUUUCUUACUCUUUUAUGUAGGACCUCAGGCGCUAUCAACUCUCUAAAAAGCAAUUGUUGUUAGGAGAGUUGAUAGCGCCUGAAGUCCUACAAGUGGUAUCAGAGUCGAGGUCACGGGUUCGAACCCCAAGGGUAUUGUUGGGGGGGGGGGGGGGGGAAGAGAUUGUUGGCAAAUCGAAGGGUUGGCCACGUCCAUCAACUUCCCUUGUAUUCGUCGUGGGCGCUUGGGUGAAUACACUAUAAGGUUAGAGUAUGCACAUUUCCUAACAACAAUUACUUUUAGGAGAGUUGGUAGUAUUUGAGGUCCUACAUCUUCUCCUUAUUAUUAUUUUUUUAUCGUGGUUUUUACACAGCAAUAGUCACUAAUUAUGAUUUUAUGUUUAAAAAUAAAAAACCAAAACUGUACUUAUUAAAAAAAAUAAAAAAAAUCUUCGGUAACUUGAAUACCCAAGUGUGUCAAAUGCAGUAGUUUGAGAGUUAUUUUGAUUGAACAUAUACUUUUGGAUUUCUUUUUCUUUUAAUUUUAUGAAUUUUUUUUAAAUAUAUUCUUUUUUCUCAAAGCUUAGAACUCAGCAUGUCCUUGGUUACAUAUAUAUUCGUUUAAACUACAAACAUAUAUAGAUUAUAAAGUAUUAAGGAUGAGGUAUGAACAUAUAAAAAAUGGACAAGAAGGAACAAAUGGAAGAUUCAUGGUGGUGUGUGAAAUGAAAUCUCCAAUAGAGAUUCACUAAUUAUACUGUGAAUGCGGUGGUUUGAAAAUCCAAUAGCAUCCUCGUUGAGAAUGAUCAAAUUUUAGGGUUUUACCAAUAUUGUCCCCCUGGAAUAAUGACCAAAUUCUUGGCAUUGAAAUGUGAGAAACGAAGCCGGAAUGUGUGGAGUAUUAAAAAGAAGGGUGACUUAGCUUCAUUGCCAACAAGUCUUUAGAGGAACUUCGUCUAUAACUUACAUCAGAUAAGAAGAAGCCACGACUUCGUUAGUAGCUUUCAUCAUAUAACAAGAGUUCUUGAGGUAUAAUUAGGUAUGCCUAUGGCCGGCAUCAUUGCUUACGAGUCUUUCACGGGUCAGCGUAUGUAGCUAUCUUACAUAAAAUAAAGAUACAUCACGAUUUCAUGUGUAGCUUAAAUGAGGCAAGGAGAGGCCUUCACUUACGAAAACUUGUGUAAGGCAUUAAUAUCAGGGUGACGAUCCAGUUGUGUCAUUCCCAUUCCCACGUCAUGUAUACGGUGCAGCCAAAUUUGACAAAGGGUACCUUGAGACCCUUUCCCCGCUUAAAUUGGUUAAAUAUAAUUCAUCUCCAUUAAAAAAUCUUGGGACAUCCUUUGAUUGACAGUUCCAUGUUUGAAAAGCUGAUCAAGAUAUUGGAUACUUAAUUGGUAUAAUGCCUUCCUCCUUAAUUUCCUACGUGAAGUAGUGGAUAUAAAACUAACAUUUUCUUAACCAACCAAAGAUGCAUUUCUAAACCAAACUUGGAAAGACAUGGGAAACCUAUUUUCCUCCAUUCUUCUCAUCCUUCUUAUCUCUUUCUUCUUCUCUUUUACAACUUCCAAAACCCAGAACUUUUUGCAAAGAGGCUCCUCUCUCUCUGUCGAAGAUGAUUCGGACGACUACAUCACCUCCCCAGACAAAUCAUUCACUUGUGGUUUCUAUGGGAUGGGGGAAAAUGCUUACUGGUUUUCAAUAUGGUUCACAAAUUCGAAGGAAAGAACUGUUGUUUGGAUGGCCAAUCGAAAUAGACCUGUCAAUGGCCGGGGCUCCAGAAUUUCGCUGCAGAGAGAUGGCACCAUGAUGCUAAGGGAUGCUGAUGGCUCAACUGUUUGGGAGACUAACACUACCUCUACCGAUGUUGAUCGAGCAGAGCUU
rnacentral:lncRNA from 1 species